rnacentral:rRNA from 1 species
UACGUAGGGCGCAAGCGUUAUCCGGAAUUAUUGGGCGUAAAGCGCGUGUAGGCGGCUUUGCAAGUCGGGUGUGAAAGCCCUCAGCUCAACUGAGGAAGUGCGCCCGAAACUGCAGAGCUUGAGUGCCGGAGAGGGUGGCGGAAUUCCCCAAGUAGAGGUGAAAUUCGUAAGAUAUGGGGAGGAACACCGGUGGCGAAGGCGGCCGCCU